UGUGCAUGUGUGCCUGCGUUUGUUCCCUGUAUACGCUCUAGCUCCCGUUUCCGGAUGGGCUUGUAGCGUACAAAAAAAUAACUUUGCCGGAAUCCAAGAUUGUCGACAACUAUUUGGAAUGUGUCAAAUUGUUAAUGUUUUUCCCUAACCGCACAGGCGAUUAUUUUUGGUUUUUUGUCCUCGCAUUUUUCGCACAGUGCAUUUGAUUUUAGACAUCUUUGAUCGCACGAUUAUGUUGCGGCAUUUGCGAUGGGGAUACAUGACUGUAGUUUUUCAGAAUCAUUAGACUUUCGAAUCGCUGCAUCUCGGAAAACUAAUACAUUAACGUCUAAUACUGCUUAUUUAAAAUGUGUUUCGGAACGCUAGAACGCUAGAAGGUUGUGCGUGGGAAAGAUGGAAUAAUACUGACCAUUGCCAUAUAAGUUUGUCUGCUUUGCUGAAUUCGACUUGUAGUUCAAAUCGCCGAACCGCUUACUUUCGUUUCUGCUCGUUUGAAACAGUGGCAAAAUGAAUAAUAAAAUUAUGAUUGUCUCUUCCUUUUUGGCUCUCCUCCUAGUGGCGACCUUUGUGACACCGUCAACCGGAGCGCCGGCUAAGGAGGGCUCUUCACACAUUGCAAAGGCAUGUAAGCCGAAGCCGUGUAGAAAGCCUGACUGCGAACCUCCGAUGAUAGUGCCUCCGUGUGGAUGUAGCUGUGUUUUGCCAGAAGACCGUGGUAAAAAAGAGUGACGAAUUUUUCGAAACGAAUGCCUCCAGGCCAGACAGACUGAAGAGGAAAAAAAUGUCUGGCUCGCACGUUUCAUCUUCCUACGGUGCUUGAGGAUUUUUUAUUGUUUUGUUGUGGAGUAGGUACUCUGUAAUCAAUCGAGCUUUACAUUACAGUUUUCAGCAGCUACUAACUGUUUAAUUUUUGGAUUUUUGACCUUUCACGUGAAAUUAUAUAA